GCUCAGAACGAACGCUGGCGGCAGGCCUAACACAUGCAAGUCGAACGCUCGUAGCAAUACGGGAGUGGCAGACGGGUGCGUAACGCGUGGGAACAUACCCUUUGGUUCGGAAUAACUCAGGGAAACUUGAGCUAAUACCGGAUACGCCCGAGAGGGGAAAGAUUUAUUGCCGAAGGAUUGGCCCGCGUCUGAUUAGCUUGUUGGUAGGGUAACGGCCUACCAAGGCGACGAUCAGUAGCUGGUCUGAGAGGAUGAUCAGCCACACUGGGACUGAGACACGGCCCAGACUCCUACGGGAGGCAGCAGUGGGGAAUAUUGGACAAUGGGCGCAAGCCUGAUCCAGCCAUGCCGCGUGAGUGAUGACGGCCCUAGGGUUGUAAAGCUCUUUUACCCGGGAAGAUAAUGACGGUACCGGGAGAAUAAGCCCCGGCUAACUUCGUGCCAGCAGCCGCGGUAAUACGAAGGGGGCUAGCGUUGUUCGGAAUCACUGGGCGUAAAGCGCACGUAGGCGGAUCUUUAAGUCAGGGGUGAAAUCCCGGGGCUCAACCCCGGAACUGCCUUUGAUACUGGAGAUCUCGAGUUCGGGAGAGGUGAGUGGAACUGCGAGUGUAGAGGUGAAAUUCGUAGAUAUUCGCAAGAACACCAGUGGCGAAGGCGGCUCA
rnacentral:rRNA from 1 species